rnacentral:RNase_P_RNA from 1 species
CAGGUCGGUCGGAUGAUCGCGGCCUCGCCAGGCGCGAGGCUGAGGAAAGUCCGCACUCCACAGAGCACGGUGCCGGGUAACACCCGGGGCGGGGUAACCCGCCGGACAGGGCCACAGAAACAGGUAGCCCUCGUGCUUUCGGGCACGGGUGGUGAUAGUGAAAAGGUGGUGUAAGAGACCACCAGCACCGGUAGUAAUACCGGUGGCUAGGUAACCCCCACCGGGAGCAAGGCCAAGCAGGGGCAAAGUCCGCAUCUGCGGACGGGAAGUUGCUCGCUUCCCUUGAGCCCCGGGUAGGCCGCUAGAGCGGGUCGGUAACGGCUCGCCCAGAGAGAUGAUCAUCCCGGCCGGUGCCGUCUCUGGUACGACCAGAGAUACCCACCGGACGGACAGAAUGCGGCUUACAGACCGACCUGGGGU